AGCGGAGCACAUCAUUGGAAUCCUUCGGGAGCCUUAAAAUGUGGCUUAGCGGCGGACGGGUGAGUAACGCGUGGACAACCUGCCCUAUGCAGGGGGAUAACAUCCUUCCACGGGUGCUAAUACCGCAUAAGCGCACAGUACCGCAUGGUACAGUGUGAAAAGCUGAGGCGGCAUAGGAUGGGUCCGCGUUGGAUUAGGCAGUUGGCGGGGUAACGGCCCACCAAACCGACGAUCCAUAGCCGGCCUGAGAGGGUGGACGUCACAUUGGGACUGAGACACGGCCCAGACUCCUACGGGAGGCAGCAGUGGGGAAUAUUGCACAAUGGGGGGAACCUUGAUGCAGCGACGCCGCGUGGGUGAGGAAGUACUUCGGUAUGUAAAGCCCUAUCAUCUUGGAAGAAAAUGACCGUACCUGACUAAGAAGCCCCGGCUGGGGUAAAAACCAGCAGCCGCGGUAAUACGUAGGGGGCAAGCGUUAUCCGGAUUUACUGGGUGUAAAGGGAGCGUAGACGGCAUGGCAAGCCAGAUGUGAAAUACCGGGGCUCAACCCCGGGACUGCAUUUGGAACUGUUAAGCUGGAGUGUCGGAGAGGCAGGCGGAAUUCCUAGUGUAGCGGUGAAAUGCG
rnacentral:rRNA from 1 species